UCGCAUGCCCGAAAGGGUGACGAAGCGACGCCGCGUGGGUGAGGAAGGCCUUCGGGUUGUAAAGCCCUGUCAGGAGUUAAGAAAUGUAGACUCGCUAAUAUCGGGUCUAUUUGACAAAGGCUCCAAAGGAAGCCACGGCUAACUCUGUGCCAGCAGCCGCGGUAAUACAGAGGUGGCAAGCGUUGUUCGGAAUUAUUGGGCGUAAAGAGCACGUAGGUGGAUUUGUAAGUCAGACGUGAAAGCCUUCUGUUCAACGGAAGAAUUGCAUCUGAAACUACAAACCUUGAGUGUAGGAGGGGAGAAUGGAACUUCUGGUGGAGCGGUGAAAUGCGUAGAUAUCAGAAGGAACGCCGGCGGCGAAAGCGAUUCUCUGGCCUAUUACUGACACUCAGUGUGCGAAAGCUAGGGGAGCAAACGGGAUUAGAUACCCCGGUAGUCCUAGCCGUAAACGAUGGGCACUAAGUAGAGGGGU
rnacentral:rRNA from 1 species